AACAAAAGACAUUGCAGUUUUUUUUGCUUUUUGUUGUUAUUGUUAUUUUGUGUUUUGCUUGGACCAGUAUGUCAGGGGAAUGCCACUCUUCUGGCCCCAUGAAGAGGUCUACAUGGUUAGAGAUUGAGGCCUCCUACAGCAGUUAUUAAACACACCAUCUUGGAAGUGUUCAGUCCCAGUCAAUCUUAAAGAACUGGAGCCUUCAUAUGUAUCUUGUCUGCAACUUUAGGAAAGACUCCAACUAGAACUACUCACUUGAGCUGCACUAUGGUUUCUGACCCCCAGAUUCAGGCUGAGAUGACAUUGGUUUACCUCAUUAAGUUCUGAGGUAAUUAUAAUUUACAUAACAAUAGAUAACUAGUACAAUUACUAUUCCUAAUCUACACUAACUAUUGUAGGAACUUUAUAAACAUGCAGCCUGUGUGAGAUUCCAUCAUUGCCAUAGUUCUGUGUGCCAACCUGUUGGCCUCACAGAUGUCCUCAUUCUAGCCUAUGACGAAUAUGUUAGGUUACCCAAGGAAGGGAUGAAAAGUUAGUUUUAGAGCAGAUUAUUCUGAAUUUCCCCCAGGUGGGUCUAUUCUAAUUCCAAAGGCCCUCAAAAGAGAGGCUGAGGAAAUAGGACUGUAGAGGAAAGUCAGGACAUUGGCUUUGAAGAUCAAAUGGAACCGAGAGUCCAAGGACUGGGGGUAGUCUUUAGAAGUUGGAAAUGGGGAGGGAAAUGGAUUCUCUCCAGCCUCUAGAGAGGACUGCAGCUCAGAAUUAAAUUCAACCACAAAGAUGCACUGGUUUAAGCCAGUGCAGUUGUGGCGUAUCAUAAGAAGGGACCACAAAAUCAUAUAACCAGAAAAUGGCAGAGCAAGGGAUCAUGUUAGUAUGUCUGACCCAAAGCCCUCUUUCUCUCCACAGAAACCCCAAACUCACUUUUAUUCCUUACUCCAUCCCCACACACCAGAUAUGGGAGACUCUUUCCUUUUCUGGGGUUUAUUUUUUGUCAUGAAGUUUUUGAAUGCCUGUUAUGUGCAAGAAAUUUGAGCAUAUCCCAUAAAAUGUGAGAGAGAUCCUGAUAGGUAUGAGUUUUCCCACCACGUGCAGGUUGUCACCUAGUGAGGGAAGAGAUUGACUGAACCCACAGUGAUCACCAUGGUUACCAUGGUUACCAUAUUCCACUGUGUCACAAUUAAAAGGUUUAACUGAGCUCCAGGCAGCAUGCAAGAUGACAGAGCUGGCGACUAGGGGAGGGUUAGACCCACAGUGUGAGUCCUGAGAUUGAGGGGUUAGACUGAGGACAGCCCCACCCGGGCUUUUCUGUAUUGUGAACUGAGGCUGGUGCGUCUCCUGGAAUGUCACAGCCAGAAGCAUGGGCAUCCCUGGAGGCAUCAGGGACAGAACAGUUCCAAAGCUGAUGUGCAAAAGCCAUCACAUGGCAGCUCAGGAUUCAUUGCCAAGGAUCAUUUGCACAGAACUGGUGCAGGUCAGACAAGCAACACCAAUGCCAGGAGCCAUAAAUUCCACGAAAGGCAAGACAUUUUGGUUCUGAGUUACUGAGCAAAGAACUUAAGUGCAGGGGGUGUGGGAACAGCCAUUGAAGAGAGGACCAUUUGCAUAGAUGGAGUCCACCAGCAUUUCCCAGAAUGCUUUUUGUUUUCUACAGUGGUGAGAACUUGUGGCAGAGAUGGGUUUCUCAGUGUAGUUCCAGAAUGAGUGGUGUUUGCCACAAGACGCCGUCACCAAGUCAGAGAGCAAGCAAGUUAAACCACUGCCUCCCAUCCCUGAUGGUUUGCUAACAAAGUCUCAUGUCCAAAUUACAAUUCCUGGGAAGACAACCUUAUUUGGAAAUAGGGUCUGUGUAAAUAUCAGAAGAACCUCGAAAGGAAAUGAUUCAUAGGACCACUAUCUGUAUGAACCCCCAAUCCAAAGAGAUGUGUCCUUCGAAAGACGUUCAGAGGAGAUGCACAGAGGAAGAGAUGGAGGCAGAGGCUGAGAUUAGAAUGUUACAGUCACAAGCCAAGGUCACCGGAAGCCAUCAGCUGGAAGAGGCAAGAGCAGGCUGUUCUCUUGUCUCCGGAGGGAGUGUGGCACGGCCAACACCUUCCCUUAGGGGGUGGGUCUUCAGUUGAAAGUUUUUGUUGUUUUAAGUUACCAGGUUUGUGCUCUUGUGUUUCAGGAGCCCCAGGGAGUGAGUACACCACCUGCCCAUGUUGUCUGAUUCCUGGGGUGCUUGUCCCCCCCCCCCUUCUUCCAUGUGCGAUCUUUUUCAUCACUCCUUUGAGGUGUCUGCCUGGAGGAGCGUCUCCAUCCCACUGAUGCAUUAUCCAUACAACACAUCCUUAUACCGAGAGUUUCUUAGUUUGGGAGUGGUGGGAUUGGUGCUUGGAGGGAGGAUUCUACUCUCCAGCAUGGACUCUGGGACUUCUUUUGGUUGGUCAAAUAUGAGUGAGUAGCAUCUUGAACCCUUGCAGGUCUGACAGACACUUCUGGUCUAGCAAAUCCACAAAGAAUCAUGUCUGGAAGUAUGUGUGCCCAAACACGUGUGUGUGUGUGUGUGUGUGUGUGUGUGUGUGUGUGUGUGUGUGUGUGUGUUCCUGAGCUGCUUCUUCACGUCCCUCGCACACGCAUUGCUUUUAGGAAAGAGCCAGCAGAGCCCUGUCAUAGCCAGAAACAGUCACCCAUCCUGCCAGAAUUGCCUUACAACCAGGAAGAAUUCGGAAUUGAGAUCACUCUGAGCAUAUCCUCCUGAGAAGAGUAGUCAUUUCUAGAAGAAGAAGAAGACAGGUUCCUGCGGGCUGGAAAGAUGGCUCAGUGGUUAAGAGUACCAGCUGUCCUUCUAGAGGUCCUGAGUUCAAUUCCUAGCAUGUACAUGGCAGCUCACAAUCAUCUAUAAUUAUAGUUCGCAUGAAUUCUGAUUCCCUCUUCUGGUGUGCAGAUGUACAUGCAGACAAAACACUCAUACACAUAAAUUAGUAAAUCUUAUAAAAAAUAAAAAAAACACAAGUCCCUGCCAUACAUAGCUUUUGUGGCCACCAAUCUGUGAACAGUUCACAGCAAAGUGUGGGCUUCUCCAGUGUGUGUUCAGUGGCCUUCAUGGACGUCUGUCUCCUCCACCUUCUCUACAUACCUCUUCUAGAGCUUCCUAUUUAUUUUAUUUUAAUUUUUUAGGAGUUGAGGACCGAACCCAGGGCCUUGUGCUUGCUAGGCAAGUGCUCUACCACUGAGCUAAAUCUUCAAACCCCUCUUCUAGAACUUUCUAAUGAAGGUUACCACCUUAUGGUCAGUUUCAUACACUGGAACUCUGAGAGUGUCCCUUGAUAGUUUCCAUAUCAUUUCCCAAAUCUGCACGCCCCCCCCCAUGCACCCCAAACCCUGGAGAUUAUAUUCCCUGCUUGUAUUUCUUCACUUUUUUCCCCUUGCUGUGACAAAGGCUGGGGUACUUUUUAAAGAAAGUAAGUUUAUUUAUUUCAUAGUUCUGUAGAUUCCAGCGUGUAGCACCAGCAUGUACUUGCCCUGAUGAGGACCCUCUGGCUGCAUCACAUGGCUGGACAACAUCAUGCUAGACUCACAUACAAGAGGGAGCAGCCACAUGUUGACUUAGAGAAGUUCAGGAGCCAGCCUUACUGCCUGAUAACAAUUCACACUUGAAGGACUUAACCAGGACCCCUCAAGAACUAUAUGAAAUCCUGCUAAGGCUGACUCUUCCAUGAUCUAUCUUCCACAUCUCCCAACACUACCACAUUGAAGACCAAGCUUCCAACACAUCAACCUUUGGAGGACACACAAAAAUCAUAUUCAAACCAGAGCACUGCUUGUCACUCAAAUGUCAGUUCAGACAGCUCCUCCCAUCACCGUCUCUGAUAGGUCCCCGCUUUCCUUCUUCCUUGGGAUACUUGUCACAUUUGUGAGGGCAGAGACUGUGGUUACAUGUUCACUGUAGUCUCCCCAGUGCUCCAAACUGCCUGGGCAUUGUUGGUGCUGCGGGAGGAAUACUGGUCAGAUAAUUGAGUAAGUAGGUGAAUGCAUGCUACUUAAUUUUUAUAGUGCCUGUGUGCAUGCAUAUGUGCCACGUGGAGGCCAGAGGACAACUCUGUGGAGUCGGGUCUCUCCUUCUACCUUUAUGUGAGUUCCAGGAUUGAACUCAAGUCAUCAGGGUUAGCAUGUACCUUGCCCCACUUAUCUCCCCAGCCCUGGGUGCCAUUUGGAGCCACAGUGGUUGUAUCAAGUGGAGGCUUCCUUUGCAGAGUCCAAGGGCCACCUCAGAACAGGUGUUCUAGACCAGAGGCUUCUGAGGCCCAGAACCAGGCAUCCCCCAGUGCCUUGGGUCUGGCUGCUAGCUCUAUGACAGCAUUCUCUGUGUGCUUUGCCAUUUCCACCUACCCCCAGGACUUCCAGUUUUGAAAAUUCAAGCCUGUAGAUUUGAAGAAGAGUACAAGGACAUACUUAUCCCGUAACUGUUAACAUAUUGCUCCCCCUCUCUCCUCUUUCUCUCUCUACAAUCGGCAAGCAAACUGCUGACAUCUUGAUACCUCACGUCCAAAUCUAUCAACAUCUCCUAAUAAGGUCAUCCUGUCAUGAAACCACAAUGUUGCGAUCGAAGCCAUAGCAGCAUACCAUCUGCAUUUGGGGCUCUGCAGAUUUCCCCCAGACGUCUUUUACAGCGGGAUCUUUUUUUUUCAAACCCUGCCCAGGAUGCAAUCAAGAUUCGUGUGUGAUGUUUAGCCAUUGUGUCUUUAAUCUAAAUUAGAUCUUCCCUUGCCUUGCUAUUGCUGCUUCUUGCUUGUUUUUGUGACUUUCCCUUUUUGGAAGAGUCUGCAUUAGUUGUAGACAUGUCCUUAUUAACAUGGUUAUUAGUGCAGAAUCUGGCCUUAGGAUUUGGGGCAUCGGUUCACUCAUUGCAUCAGAUAGAGAUCAAAUAACGUGAGAUAGGCUGCUGGUAUGAUCACCAAGCCUCGCUCCAUUCUUGUUCAUAAUCAAUAUGGGAUCCUCCCAGGGUGAAAGGGUCAGUGGGGGGCCAGGUUACCCCUGUAACUGAUGACACUUGGCUGGAGAAAAUACUAGGGGCUACAGAAUGAAGUUUCAUUCCUCUUACAUCUAGUUGGUUAUUUUGUUUCUGCAAGAAUUCCAAUUAAAUAACCAGGGAGCUGGGGAGCUGAGGUGGUAGCUAAGAGAACUUGCUGCUCUUGCAGAAGACCUGGGUUAGUUCAGAAUCCUCGGUAACUUCAGUGCUGGGGAUUUGAUCACAUCUUGACCCUGAGAGUGUUAGGCACAUGUGUAACGCCUGGUUGUCCUUGUUCAUUUUGGUGUUCCAACUGUCCCACCUUUGAGCAGCCUGAGGUCAGCUCCUGAAUCGGUUUGGCAAGAUCACAUUUAUCUUUGAGUCCUGUUUUACUUCUGGGUCAGACAUGGUAUUAUAGGCUCAAGACAUGCAUCCUUAGCCCCAAACUUUGGAUCAAUCACUGUUUCAAGGAGCCUUGGUUUCUGUAGUGGUCAGGUGUAUAGGACUCAGGGGCACCUGUGCCAUGGUUACUAGCUUGUCAGAGCUUCUGUGGCCUUCAGUGGACAGAACUCGGAAAUCAUUCUGUUUCUAGUCAUGAGUUCAAACUGGUCUCUCCACCUCAAAUUUAACAUUGUAGGGGUUUUCUCUAACUUUUACUUGCUGCUAGUGUCCUCUAUUCCAGUAAAGAACAUGUGUGUGUUUGUUUUAUACUGUAUCGUGCAGAAAAGAGUUUCAGAAUUAGACCGGUAUCAGUAAAUCUACUACAUACCAGAUAUCCUCAGAACAAACCCAUCGUGUGCAAUCAGAGUGCUUCAGUUGAUUCCUGGAUCGGUGUGGGUUUCAGUUUAAUAUAAUAUCAGUAGGGCAGUGCUGUGUUGGGGCUCUACCAUCAGCCAAAAACACACUCAGCAUACAACAGGAUUCCAGCCUGUAGUCACCAAGUCAGUAAAAUGGUAACAGAGAGGUCUCCUUUGCAGGAGACUGGAAGUUUCACUGCAGCCUCAGAAGGCAAAGGGGAAGGACAUCUCCAGCCUGGGCGGAAAGAAGUUUCGGUCACUUCAUACCCGCUGGGAUGGCUGCAAUCAAAAGGAAGGAAGGAAGGAAGGAAGGAAGGAAGGAAGGAAGGAAGGAAGGAAGGAAGGAAGGAAGGAAGGAAAGAAGG